rnacentral:rRNA from 1 species
CAUGCAUGUCUAAGUAUAAGCAAUUAUACAGCGAAACUGCGAAUGGCUCAUUAUAUCAGUUAUAAUCUACUUGAUCGAUUCUGUUAUUUGGAUAACUGUAGGAAUUCUAGAGCUAAUACAUGCAAAAGGACCGGAGUGGGGGUAACCUUAUGAAGGUCGCGUUUACUAGUAUAGAAACCAAGAUGGGGCGCAAGCCUCAUUUAACAGAUGAUUCAUAGUAAGCUUUGACGCGAAUCGAGGUUUCGGCCUCGAUGAUGCAAACGAGUUUCUGCCCUAUCAACUUUCAAUCGUAGUGUAGAGGACUACGAUGGUUGUAACGGGUACGGGGAAUUAGGGUUCGAUUCCGGAGAGGCCGCCUGAGAAACGGCGACCACUUCCAAGGAAGGCAGCAGGCGCGUAAAUUAUCCAAUCCCAAUUCGGGGAGAUAGUGACAAGAAAUAGCGGUGUAGGGCCUUUUCAGGUUCUACGAUCGCAAUGAGUACAAUUUAAAAACCUUAACGAGGAACAAUUGGAGGGCAAGUCUGGUGCCAGCAGCCGCGGUAAUUCCAGCUCCAAGAGUGUAUAUUAAAGUUGUUGCGGUUAAAAAGCUCGUAGUUGGACCUUGAGGUUGAGUACAUCGGUUCUCCGUUGCUUCGGCAGUAGGGGUUAAAACCGAGUAAUUCUUCCUCUAUUCUCGGAACGUUCACAAUCAGAAAUAGUUGGUUUCGUAGGAUUUACUUUGAAUAAAUUAGGGUGUUUAAAGCAGGCAUAAAAGCCUUGAAUACAUUAGCAUGGGAUAAUAAAAGAUGACCUUUGGUCUAAACUUUAUUGGUUUCUAAGGCCUAGGUAAUGAUUGAUAGGGAUAGUUGAGGUCGCUCGU